AUUGAACGCUGGCGGCAUGCCUUACACAUGCAAGUCGAACGGCAGCGGGCCCUUCGGGGUGCCGGCGAGUGGCGAACGGGUGAGUAAUGCAUCGGAACGUACCCGGGAGAGGGGGAUAACCGGCCGAAAGGCUGGCUAAUACCGCAUGAACUCGGAAGAGCAAAGCGGGGGACCUUCGGGCCUCGCGCUCUCGGAGCGGCCGAUGUCCGAUUAGGCUAGUUGGUGGGGUAAAGGCCCACCAAGGCGACGAUCGGUAGCGGGUCUGAGAGGACGAUCCGCCACACGGGGACUGGGACGCGGCCCAGACUCCUACGGGAGGCAGCAGUGGGGAAUCUUGGACAAUGGGCGCAAGCCUGAUCCAGCAAUGCCGCGUGGGUGAAGAAGGCCUUCGGGUUGUAAAGCCCUUUCGGCGGGGAAGAAAUCGGUCAGGCGAAUAGUCUGGCCGGAUGACGGUACCCGCAGAAGAAGCACCGGCUAACUACGUG
rnacentral:rRNA from 1 species